rnacentral:rRNA from 1 species
GGUUAAGUUAGAAAGGGCGCACGGUGGAUGCCUUGGCACUAGGAGCCGAUGAAGGACGGGACGAACACCGAUAUGCUUCGGGGAGCUGUAAGCAAGCUUUGAUCCGGAGAUUUCCGAAUGGGGAAACCCACCACUCGUAAUGGAGUGGUAUCCAUAUCUGAAUACAUAGGAUAUGAGAAGGCAGACCCGGGGAACUGAAACAUCUAAGUACCCGGAGGAAGAGAAAGCAAAUGCGAUUCCCUGAGUAGCGGCGAGCGAAACGGGACCAGCCCAAACCAAGAGGCUUGCCUCUUGGGGUUGUAGGACACUCUGUACGGAGUUACAAAGGAACGAGGUAGAUGAAGAGGUCUGGAAAGGCCCGCCAUAGGAGGUAACAGCCCUGUAGUCAAAACUUCGUUCUCUCCUGAGUGGAUCCUGAGUACGGCGGAACACGUGAAAUUCCGUCGGAAUCCGGGAGGACCAUCUCCCAAGGCUAAAUACUCCCUAGUGACCGAUAGUGAACCAGUACCGUGAGGGAAAGGUGAAAAGCACCCCGGAAGGGGAGUGAAAGAGAUCCUGAAACCGUGUGCCUACAAGUAGUCAGAGCCCGUUAACGGGUGAUGGCGUGCCUUUUGUAGAAUGAACCGGCGAGUUACGAUCCCGUGCAAGGUUAAGCAGAAGAUGCGGAGCCGCAGCGAAAGCGAGUCUGAAUAGGGCGAAUUGAGUACGUGGUCGUAGACCCGAAACCAGGUGAUCUACCCAUGUCCAGGGUGAAGUUCAGGUAACACUGAAUGGAGGCCCGAACCCACGCACGUUGAAAAGUGCGGGGAUGAGGUGUGGGUAGGGGUGAAAUGCCAAUCGAACCUGGAGAUAGCUGGUUCUCUCCGAAAUAGCUUUAGGGCUAGCCUCAAGGUAAGAGUCUCGGAGGUAGAGCACUGAUUGGACUAGGGGCCCCUACCGGGUUACCGAAUUCAGUCAAACUCCGAAUGCCGAUGACUUAUCCUUGGGAGUCAGACUGCGAGUGAUAAGAUCCGUAGUCGAAAGGGAAACAGCCCAGACCGCCAGCUAAGGUCCCAAAGUAUACGUUAAGUGGAAAAGGAUGUGGAGUUGCUUAGACAACCAGGAUGUUGGCUUAGAAGCAGCCACCAUUUAAAGAGUGCGUAAUAGCUCACUGGUCGAGUGACUCUGCGCCGAAAAUGUACCGGGGCUAAACGUAUCACCGAAGCUGCGGACUGUUCUUCGAACAGUGGUAGGAGAGCGUUCUAAGGGCUGUGAAGCAAGACCGGAAGGACUUGUGGAGCGCUUAGAAGUGAGAAUGCCGGUAUGAGUAGCGAAAGAGGGGUGAGAAUCCCCUCCACCGAAUGCCUAAGGUUUCCUGAGGAAGGCUCGUCCGCUCAGGGUUAGUCGGGACCUAAGCCGAGGCCGAAAGGCGUAGGCGAUGGAUAACAGGUUGAUAUUCCUGUACCACCUCCUCACCAUUUGAGCAAUGGGGGGACGCAGGAGGAUAGGGUAAGCGCGGUAUUGGAUAUCCGCGUCCAAGCAGUUAGGCUGGGAAAUAGGCAAAUCCGUUUCCCGUGAAGGCUGAGCUGUGAUGGCGAGCGAAUUAUAGUAGCGAAGUUCCUGAUUCCACACUGCCAAGAAAAGCCUCUAGCGAGGUGAGAGGUGCCCGUACCGCAAACCGACACAGGUAGGCGAGGAGAGAAUCCUAAGGUGAUCGAGAGAACUCUCGUUAAGGAACUCGGCAAAAUGACCCCGUAACUUCGGGAGAAGGGGUGCUCUGUUAGGGUGAAAGCCCGAGAGAGCCGCAGUGAAUAGGCCCAGGCGACUGUUUAGCAAAAACACAGGUCUCUGCGAAGCCGUAAGGCGAAGUAUAGGGGCUGACGCCUGCCCGGUGCUGGAAGGUUAAGAGGAGCGCUUAGCGUAAGCGAAGGUGCGAAUUGAAGCCCCAGUAAACGGCGGCCGUAACUAUAACGGUCCUAAGGUAGCGAAAUUCCUUGUCGGGUAAGUUCCGACCCGCACGAAAGGCGCAACGAUCUGGGCACUGUCUCAACGAGAGACUCGGUGAAAUUAUAGUACCUGUGAAGAUGCAGGUUACCCGCGACAGGACGGAAAGACCCCGUGGAGCUUUACUGCAGCCUGAUAUUGAAUGUUGGUACAGCUUGUACAGGAUAGGUAGGAGCCUUGGAAACCGGAGCGCCAGCUUCGGUGGAGGCAUCGGUGGGAUACUACCCUGGCUGUAUUGACCUUCUAACCCGCCGCCCUUAUCGGGCGGGGAGACAGUGUCAGGUGGGCAGUUUGACUGGGGCGGUCGCCUCCUAAAAGGUAACGGAGGCGCCCAAAGGUUCCCUCAGAAUGGUUGGAAAUCAUUCGCAGAGUAAAGGCACAAGGGAGCUUGACUGCGAGACCUACAAGUCGAGCAGGGACGAAAGUCGGGCUUAGUGAUCCGGUGGUUCCGCAUGGAAGGGCCAUCGCUCAACGGAUAAAAGCUACCCCGGGGAUAACAGGCUUAUCUCCCCCAAGAGUCCACAUCGACGGGGAGGUUUGGCACCUCGAUGUCGGCUCAUCGCAUCCUGGGGCUGUAGUCGGUCCCAAGGGUUGGGCUGUUCGCCCAUUAAAGCGGUACGCGAGCUGGGUUCAGAACGUCGUGAGACAGUUCGGUCCCUAUCCGUCGCGGGCGCAGGAAAUUUGAGAGGAGCUGUCCUUAGUACGAGAGGACCGGGAUGGACGCACCGCUGGUGUACCAGUUGUUCUGCCAAGGGCAUCGCUGGGUAGCUAUGUGCGGACGGGAUAAGUGCUGAAAGCAUCUAAGCAUGAAGCCCCCCUCAAGAUGAGAUUUCCCAUUCCGCAAGGAAGUAAGAUCCCUGAAAGAUGAUCAGGUUGAUAGGUCUGAGGUGGAAGUGUGGCGACACAUGGAGCUGACAGAUACUAAUCGAUCGAGGACUUAACCAA